rnacentral:rRNA from 1 species
GACGAACGCUGGCGGCGUGCUUAACACAUGCAAGUCGAACGAAGUGGCGAACGGGUGAGUAACGCGUAAUCAACCUGCCCUUCAGAGGGGGACAACAGUUGGAAACGACUGCUAAUACCGCAUACUGAAUGAGGGGAUUUCGUGUGAUUAGCUAGUUGGCGGGGUAACGGCCCACCAAGGCGAUGAUCAGUAGCCGGGCUGAGAGGAUGAACGGCCAAAUUGGGAAUUAGACACGGCCCAGACUCCUACGGGAGGCAGCAGGGGGGAAUCUUCGGAAAUGGACGAAAGUCUGGCGGAGCAACGGCGCGUGAGUGAUGACGGCCUUCGGGGUGUAAAGCUCUGUUAAGCGGGACGCGGUACCGGAAUAGAAAGCCACGGCUAACUACGUGCCAGCCGCCGCGGUAAUUC